rnacentral:rRNA from 1 species
GAGUUUGAUCUUGGCUCAGGAUGAACGCUGGCGGCGUGCCUAAUACAUGCAAGUCGAGCGGUAAGGUCCCUCCAGACCAUUCAAUUAGUUUGAGUGGUGUGGUGGGAUACACGAGCGGCGGACGGCUGAGUAACACGUAGGAACGUACCCCAAACUGAGGGAUAAGCACCAGAAAUGGUGUCUAAUACCGCAUGUGCUCUUCGGAGUAAAGCUACGGCGGUUUGGGAACGGCCUGCGCAUGAUUAGCUUGUUGGUGAGGUAAUGGCUCACCAAGGCGACGAUCAUUAGCUGGUCUGAGAGGAUGAUCAGCCAGACUGGGACUGAGAACGGCCCAGACUCCUACGGGAGGCAGCAGUAGGGAAUUUUCCACAAUGGGGGCAACCCUGAUGGAGCAACGCCGCGUGCAGGAUGAAUGCCUUCGGGUUGUAAACUGCUUUUAUCUGUGACGAUUAUGACGGUAGCAGAUGAAUAAGGAUCGGCUAACUCCGUGCCAGCA